AGUUUAUGAACUUGUGUAUAAGUAUAUAUUUUGAAAAUAUAAAAAAGAGACUAAUUCUCUAUUAACUU
rnacentral:tRNA from 1 species